UACGUAGGGAGCAAGCGUUGUUCGGAUUUACUGGGCGUAAAGGGCGCGUAGGCGGCGCGGUAAGUCACUUGUGAAAUCUCUGAGCUUAACUCAGAACGGCCAAGUGAUACUGCAGUGCUAGAGUGCAGAAAGGGCAAUCGGAAUUCUUGGUGUAGCGGUGAAAUGCGUAGAUAUCAAGAGGAACACCUGAGGCGAAGGCGGGUUGCUAGGCUGACACUGACGCUGAGGAGCGAAAGCGUGGGGAGCGAACAGG
rnacentral:rRNA from 1 species